UACGUAGGUGGCAAGCGUUUGUCCGGAUUUACUGGGCGUAAAGAGCGCGCAGGCGGUCGAAUAAGUCGAAUGUGAAAGCCCCCGGCUUAACUGGGGAGGGUCAUUCGAUACUGCUCGACUUGAAGGCAGGAGAGGGUAGUGGAAUUCCCGGUGUAGUGGUGAAAUGCGUAGAUAUCGGGAGGAACACCAGUGGCGAAGGCGACUACCUGCCUGUUCUUGACGCUGAGGCGCGAAAGCUGGGGGAGCAAACGGGG
rnacentral:rRNA from 1 species